UACGGAGGGUGCAAGCGUUGUCCGGAUUUAUUGGGUUUAAAGGGUGCGUAGGCGGCCCGUUAAGUCAGCGGUGAAAUCCCAGGGCUCAACCGCGGAACUGCCAUUGAUACUGGAAGGCUUGAGUACAGACGAGGUGGGCGGAAUUGAAGAUGUAGCGGUGAAAUGCUUAGAUAUCUUCAAGAACACCGAUUGCGUAGGCAGCUUACUAGGCUGUAACUGACGCUGAGGCACGAAAGCGUGGGGAGCGAACAGG
rnacentral:rRNA from 1 species